UCCCUCCUGCGGCCUUCUACAAACAGUGUGGCCAUAGUGCCCCAAGUGAACCGGGGCAGAAGAGGUGCAGGCUGCUCCCCGCGGACCUUACGACCACAGAGUCUCCCUGGUGCGCUCGAGGGGAGGAGCACGGAGGGUGGCAUUGACUGCUGGGCCCUGGCUGUCAUUCCCGACACACCAAGCAGAGCAGGAGCCUCCCACACCCACGGCCAGUGCCUGACUCACAGACAGGACCCGACCACAAGGCCAGCCUGCCCGGCGAGGAAGGGCGGGGCCGGGAAGGCCAGGAGGGCGGAGGUAGAAGCACACCAGACCCGCGGCCUGCCAGGAUCCGCACUGGCCCCACAGGGAGCUGAAGGCCCAGACAGAGAAGAGCCUGGUUCAGGGCCAACCCUGAACCCCUGAAGACAGCGCCUGUGAGAGGCCUCCCCGGCCAAUCUCCCCCGUGCCCAGGUCCCACCACUCGACCUGGCCCUCUGUGAGCUGCCCUAGGACUUCUUCUACCCUUGACACCUGUCCCCAGGACCUGCAUUCCAAGGCAGAACCUGCUCCUCCCAGUCCAGGUACAGGGCCACCUUCAAUCGCAGGAUCAGAGCCCUGCCCAGCCCAGCAGAGACCACAGCACGGCACAGCCUCACCCAACGCCCAGAAGCCUGGCCCAGGCCAUGUGCUUUUCUCCCCGGGCCUCAGUGUUCUUGGCUACAGAAUGGGCCCUUAGAGGACAGGCGGGUUGUCACGGAGACUGGACAGUGUGUGGAAGUGCCCGGCACAGCACUGGGCAGUCCACGUGUGACAUGGACUUCUGGCUGAGUUCAAUCAUUCACUGGAAAAAAUAAGAAUCUCAGAUCAUAAGUGACAAGGGACAAAAGUGCCAGGUGCAUACAUGCUACCACUGAGCGGGGCAAGAAGUCAGCAAGACCUCAGGCCACCAGAGGAGCUGGUACUUGGAACAGAUGAAGAGAUAAAGUCUGGGACUUGAAGUCGGCUCAUUGACACCAGGGCUUGACAAACUCUUCCCAGAAACCAAAGACAAGGAAGCAUUGUUCAGCUGACUCCUUGAUGCCAGUGUCACCCUGAUGUCAAAACCAGACCUUUCAGCACCUCUGCAGAUGUGGGUGCCUCUCAUUGGCUGUCGUGGCCCACGAUCCUGGUGCUGCCAUUUACAACCCAAAUCUUUGGGGGUGUAGCUCAGACGGAGCGCUGGCCUACAUGUGUGGGGCUCAGGUUUGAUCCCCAGAACUGUAUGUAAAUAAAUAAAUAACAGCA